GAGUUAGAACGACAUGGAAGAGUAAGGUGGGAAAAAUAAAAAAACAAAGGAAUUGGACGAGGACCCGCACAAGCGGUAGAUAAUGUGGAUUAAUUCGAUGCAACGCGAAAAACCUUACCUACCCUUGACAUGUACGGAAUUCCGCUGAGAGGUGGAAGUGCCCGAAAGGGAGCCGUAACACAGGUGCUGCAUGGCUGUCGUCAGCUCGUGUCGUGAGAUGCUCGGUUAAGUCCCGCAACGAGCGCAACCCUUGUCCCUAGUUGCUACGCAAGAGCACUCCAGGGAGACUGCCGGUGACAAACCGGAGGAAGGUGGGGAUGACGUCAAGUCCUCAUGGCCCUUAUGGGUAGGGCUUCACACGUCAUACAAUGGUCGGAACAGAGGGUUGCCAAGCCGCGAGGUGGAGCCAAUCCCAGAAAACCGAUCGUAGUCCGGAUCGCACUCUGCAACUCGAGUGCGUGAAGCUGGAAUCGCUAGUAAUCGCGGAUCAGCAUGCCGGGGUGAAUACGUUCCCGGGUCUUGUACACACCGCCCGUCACACCAUGGGAGUGGGUUUUACCAGAAGUGGCUAGUCUAGCCGCAAGGAGGACGGUCACCACGGUAGGAUUCAUGACUGGGGUGAAGUCGUAACAAGGUAGCCGUA
rnacentral:rRNA from 1 species